rnacentral:rRNA from 1 species
AUUGAACGCUGGCGGCAUGCUUUACACAUGCAAGUCGAACGGCAGCACGGGGGCAACCCUGGUGGCGAGUGGCGAACGGGUGAGUAAUGCAUCGGAACAUGCCCAGUCGUGGGGGAUAACGUAGCGAAAGUUACGCUAAUACCGCAUACGUCCUGAGGGCGAAAGCGGGGGAUCGCAAGACCUCGCGCGAUUGGAGUGGCCGAUGUCAGAUUAGCUAGUUGGUGGGGUAAAGGCCCACCAAGGCGACGAUCUGUAGCGGGUCUGAGAGGAUGAUCCGCCACACUGGGACUGGGACACGGCCCAGACUCCUACGGGAGGCAGCAGUGGGGAAUUUUGGACAAUGGGCGAAAGCCUGAUCCAGCCAUACCGCGUGCGGGAAGAAGGCCUUCGGGUUGUAAACCGCUUUUGUCAGGGAAGAAAUACUCCGGGCUAAUACCCUGGGGUGAUGACGGUACCUGAAGAAUAAGCACCGGCUAACUACGUGCCAGCCGCCGCGGUAAGAC